GGUAUCAGCACAGAGCCCGACGCGGGGCUCGAACUCACAAACCACGAGAUCAUGACCUGAGCCGAAGUCGGAUGCUUAACCGACUGAGCCACCCAGGCGCCCCUCCAUCUUGGCAUUAUUGACAUUUGGGGCUGGACGAUUCUUUGUUGUGGGGGCUGUCCUGGGCAUUGGAGGACACUGGGUAGAAUCCUUGACCACUCAACAGGUCUCCAGACACUGGCAAAUGCCCCCCAGUUGAGAACCAUUGCAUUAAAACGAGGCCCGAGCAGUGAGUAAGAGCCAAGCGGAAGGCAGCAUGCUGAGAGAGGAAAGAGCAUAUGCAAAGGCCCUGAGGUAGGAAGAACGUGGGUCACUGGAGGAAGAGCAGGAAGGAUGACGUGGCCGAGUGCAGUAAGCAAGAGGGGAGAUGGUACCAGAUGAAGCUGAGAAGAUGGGGAGAAGCCAGAUCACGCAGGGCCUCGUGGGCCACCGCAGAGAUUUUCAAUUUUAACUUAACACGAAUGGAGAGUCACAGAAGCGGGUUGGCUCCCCCCCCCCACUCCCCCACUUUCAAUACCUAGUAAAUGUCUACUCUGUACCAGACAUGGUGUGAGUGAAGACCAGAGAAGGGCCUUCAGAGGAAGAAUCUUAAUCAGUGGUGAAUCUCUUCUGGGUACUAAUUCCUAGGGCCGCUUCCGUGCCUUGCUUCCCAGCUCCACAUUCAGGGACAUCAUACUGAUGCUUUGAGCGGGCUACGGAAAAUCAGUAAGCACUACAGAUCAGGACGUCUCCCUCCGUGUGGCCCAGGAGAUGUUAUCCCCCAGCAGAGGCAAUUUGGGCUUCUGCCUUUCUCAUCCGGUUGCCCGCCUUUCCCUUCCUUCCCUCCCUCCCUCCCUCCUUCCUUCUCUUCCUUCCUCUUCCCCUUCCCCUUCUUCCUCCUAACUCCCCGGCUGCAGCCUCCGGUGCAGUGAGAACAGACGUGGCGGGAAUGGCCAUCGGGGUCCCGGUCCCGAUCUCCAGGGGAACGCUUUGGGUGUUUCGUCGUCAAGUCUGACGCUUGCUGUGGGUUUCUUCUUACCAGCUUGAGGAAGUGCUCUUCUGUCCCCGAGUUCUGGAGUGUUCUUGUUUCACGAAAGGGUGUUCAGUUCCCAGAACCACUGGCGGAGGAGCAUGAAUCCCGCGAUGUCAAGGACUACAGGCGUGUUGUCGGUUUGCAGGGGGACAAGAGCAAGGCUGGCUGCUUUCUGCUGAAGAGGAAAGUUGCCACGCCGGGUACUGGGCAGCUGAGUAUGCAACCUGGGCAAGCGUCCUCUCCUAAUAUUAGCCGUGGCCGAGGCAGGCCCGGCCAAGCACCUCACACACAUGAAAACGACCUCAGCUCCAGCUCAGGACAGAUCAAAGACUCAGGUCCCUAGGUGGGGAGGUGUCUUGGGUUGGACUCCCCCAGAAGAGGACCCUGAGGCAAGGAAUCGAAUCUCACAUGACUGUGAGAUCAUGACCUGAGCUGAAGUCGGACGCUUAACCGACGGAGCCACCCAGGCGCCCCGAACCCCUGCCUUUUAAUCUCCUUUCCCAGGGUUAAAAGCCUUGAUUUGAUGAUUGGGCAGCCCUGUGUUUAAGAAGGCCGAGUUGUCUGGGGGGGGUGCCUGGCUCAGUCGGUUAAUUGUCCGACUUUGGCUCAGGUCAUGAUCUCGGUUCGUGAGUUCGAGCCCCGCGUCGGGCUCUGUGCUGACAGCUCGGAGCCUAGAGCCUGUUUCAGAUUCUGUGUCUCCCUCUCUCUCUGCCCCUCCCCUGCUCACGCUCUGUCUCUCUCUGUCUCGAAAAUGAAUAAACAUUAGAAAAAUUUAAAGAAACA
ensembl:lncRNA